GCGUUAGUUCACUUUGGAACGCAUACAUUAAAACUGGAAUGAUAUAGACAAGAUUACCAUGAGGCCUGGACAGGAAUGACCCAAGCAUAUUUGUGCAAUGCCUCAGGUUUUC
rnacentral:snRNA from 1 species